GCAGAAAAUGAUGCCUUAAUCUUCUGAGACAUUUAUGAAACAUUGGAUUACUCCAGGAUCAGUGUGCUAUCAUCUGCAAGAAAUAUACAGGCUGAUUGGAUUGCACAGAACUUUUCAAGGUUCCAUAUGGAAAGGGCUGUGAAAACAUGGAAAGAUGAAAGGACCUGGGCCAAAUGGAGCAUCUACAAUACCCAGGACAGUUGUCACGCCAAUUCUGCCUGGUGCUGAGCAUCCUCUGGUCCUGCUGCAGGUGUUCAGCCACGUGCUGGGGUCCUUGGGCAGGACAUAUUGCAAAGUCCCCAACUGCACAAUCACUUAACUGCAGGUGAGAAGGGCUUCCAGAAAUAGACCAGAACAGACACCAGACACUCCUCUGAAAUCCUCCAUGGCUGCAAGUAGACACUGAAGCCCAAGGAGUUGAAUUGACCAUUGGAAUGGCUGAUGCUCAAACAUAGAGUCUUCCUGAGAUCCAACCUAGUGCCAGAAUACACCGCAGGACUGACAUCCUGAAACUUGGAGUCAGACCACCUGUAAUGCCCCAAAGAACUACUGGGCAAAGAGGAGCAAUGCUAGUUUCUGUCCCCUUUUCCCUCCAGGCCAUCUCCAGCAGAAACAAGACAUUGGAACAUCAUGUGUUUUGGGAGUGACCAGGUUACCUCCCCCUGCACUGAGCUUUGGUGGCAGCCAAAGUGGCACACAUGUUCAUGGCGUUUUGUCUGGGUCUGACUGAGCCUGCAGGCUCCUGAGGGAGAGUCUUGUCUCUUCACAUUUUGUGCCAAGCACACUGUCAGAGAAAACCAGGAAAAACUGGCCCCAAAUAGGCUGAAGGUAGUGGAGUUGCAAAAUCUGGCACCUGAGAAAGACGCAUGGGGAGGAUGAUGCAGAAUCCUGGCCCGUUUUCUACUGAUUUCCUAAAAUUCUCACCAUCUUCUCUGUUUGUUUGUUUCACUUCGUUAAUUAUGAAAACAAACUGAAAUGAGCAGAUGCCUGGAUCUGCUCCCAGCUUUCUCUUUGCAGAUGCUAUCAAGAGGAGCACUGUGGAAGCCAAGGAAUAAAGAAAGACUUUGAUGCCCCUGGAGUGCAUUGUGAGAGUGUAUGUCUGUGUUCAGACACGUACCUGAGCAACGGGAGAAGACAAAAUCACCCAUCCCAUCCCUGAGCUUGCACUAAACUCUAUUGAAUUACACAUGCAUUUGUCUUCUCAUUGUAAUUUCAUGGCACUGGCUGUUUGCUCUGAUUUUGCCUCUUGUUAGUAGCUUGCCUCCUGUGGGAGAUUUUUGUUCAGUCUGAGAUCCCUUAUCACAAACACCUGAUAUUCAUCUUAUUUUGCCUUUCUUGUCUCAAUGAAAUCAGCAAUUCCAAAUACAUUCAAAUGUUCUUCAUCCUCACAAUGCCUUUGAGGGAUGUAGGAUGUGUUACAGACAAAUAGAAAAUUAAAAUAAUCAGCAUAUACAAUGUCUUGGCUUACAUAGCCACCUUUUCUACUGAGCCCCAUGUGCAAGGAAAUAAACUCCAGAUAUUGUAAACUGCUGAAAAACAACAGGUAACAUUGUGUUUGCCAAAUUAAAUAUUCAAAGAAGUGCUGCAUUAGAGCUUUCCCAGUCCAUCGCUGCCCUAUCUGAACUCAAAAUCCAAACAACUACAUGAAAGAAGUCCCAGCAAAUUUAAUUAAUCCUGAAGAUUUCCUCCCUGACAGUCUGUGGAAAAGCUGCCUCUUGGGCUGUGGUGGGAAAAAUCUUCAUCUAAUCAAAUUGUUACUGAUGGAUGUUUGGGUGA